AUGAGGUACCUAGAGGAGGAUGCUGCGGCAGGCACGUGUGCUGUAGGUGUAGCAAAUUGGACAAGCUACACCGCUAAUGCCGGGUGUAUGGAACUCAGGAAGGCUAUCUGCAACAAGCUUCAGGAGGAUAAUGGUCUAACCUAUAGCCCAGAUCAUGUGCUAGCGACCAAUGGGGCUAAGCAAUGCACUACACACGCUGUUCUUGAUGUUCUCUCAUGUGGUGAUGAGGUCGGCACUGCUAUUGUCACCGGGCAGCAUGGCCGACUGGCCAUCGGUAGGCUCGGAUCCCUCUGCGAGCAGGUGAAGAAGCUUAAUUUCCAGGGGUAUGAGGUGAUUCUGUUCGCCUCCGGCGCCGUUGGCAUCGGGAGGCAGAGGCUCAAGUACCGAAAGCUCAUCAACAGCCAUAACCCACAGUUGGACCUGGAUGGGAAGGCCUGCACUGCCGUCGGCCAGAGUGGCCUCAUGGCUAUCUACGAUACACUGUUUAGCCAACUUGAUGUGACAUUAUCUCAGCUUCUUGUUAUAGAUCGUGAUUUCUGGGAUCCAAGUUUUGGGCUCCAGCUUCAUGAGACUGAAUUUUGUUCAAGGUAA
rnacentral:rRNA from 1 species